GAGGAGGGAAAUUACUUUGUGGAAAUGCUGCCGGCACUUAAACGUUCUCAUAUUAAAUUAUUUGUGGUCUUUGCAUUGGUCUGUUUGUUUAUAAUACUAUUGAGGUAUUCAACUCUCCCAGUUUUAACACCUAGUCGUACAGUGGUGACAAGAAAAACACUUACAAUGCCAGCCUCCGAAGUACUCGUUGCUUUAAUUGCUGGUCAGCUGAGCACUUGAGAAAGGUUUGCAAGACAGAUACAAAAUGCUUUAAAUGUGAAGGCGUGCAACAUAUUGCAAGGGAGUGUCCAAAAGUAUCCAGAUCUGUGCAGGUGGUUUAGUCUUCAAAAUGACAUAAAGCGAUAAACGUGAACGGAGUUGAUAUAAAUUGUCUGGUGGACACUGGAGCGGAUGUGUCAAUUGCUUGCAACUCUGUUUUUAGGAAACUGACCGGCGUAAAACAUUCACGAACUUUCAGCGCGACAAGACAGCGCUGGACAUAAUGAGCUAAGUAUAUACAAUAUUGUCAUGACCAAAAAUAACUUAAGCGUUUCUGAACAAUUUAAGCCGAUAAUUCAACCGUUGGUCGAGAAUUACAAGCCAGCUGAAUCUCCAAUCUAGUGUCCUGUACAAACGAGGAUUGUACCGGACGAAAAAAUAAAUCCACCAACCAAGUCGGUAUUCAGCUAUGGAAGCGGCCGCAGUAAGAGACCAAGUGGACGAUUGGCAUAAGAAUGAAAAAGUUCGGAGUGAAGAAGAAAAACGGGACAAACAGAAUUUGUUUUGAUUUCCGUCAGCUGAACAGGGUGGUUCUCAGAGAAAGUUUCGCUGCUAGAAAACUGCAACUGCUAGAAAAGCUGCAAUCUGCAAAAUCACUGUCAUGGAUCUCGAGAACAGCUUCUUACAUGUACCGAUCGAAGAGUCUAGUCGUAGCUACACUGCUCUUAAAACCAAGGAGGAUUUAUUUGAGUUCUGCAAAGCACCGUUUGGAUUUUGCAACUCACCUGCCGUGUUUAACCGUUUUGUCAUUGCCAUUUUUCAAAACUUGAUACAAAAAGAUGUCACGCAGAUUUACGUUGACGAUAUAAUCAUAUUCGCUCAAACAAACGAGGAGUUCAUAGUCCAGUUAAAGAAAGUCCUGGAAGAGGGAGUUAAAAAUGGAUUGCGCAUUAAGUGGAACAAAUUAUCUUUCUUGGUAAAGAGGAUCAUCUUUUUGGGUCACACAGUGGAGGACGGCAAAACCUGGCCAGGAGAGAAAAAAAGAAGUUUACCCGACCCAAGAACAUUAAAAUGUCCAAGCGUUCUUAGGAUUAACAGGAUUUUCGAAAAUUUGUAGGAGGGUAUGCAAUAAUAGCCAAACCGCUGACACACUUGUUACAGAAAGACACCGAGUUUAUUUUUGAAGCCAAACAGCUAAAGGAUAUACUGUCGAAUAAACCUGGCCUGCAGUUGUAUAACAGGGAAACAACAAACCGAACUACUGAUGCUUCUAGGAAUGGGUUUGGCGGCAUAUUAAUGCGACAGCUAACUACAGCUGGCUUGAGCUGAAUUGAGUUGGCAUUAGUCAAGCCAAACAGAACUCACUGAAAUGGAGAUAGUGGAAAUGGAGAAAUGCAGAUGGUGGGUGCAGAAACACCUCAAGAGCGCUGAAAUCAUAGCUACGUGUGCUGGAAAAUUAGGAUUGUGAAAAUAGAGUCAAGUUGUGAAGUAGUAAAAGAUGUCGACGAUCCCUCGUCCAAGCAUAGAAAUUGGUGUGUCGCGGAUGCUAUGUCGGAGGAUCAAUCGUCAUCAAGUUGUUAAGUCUAAACUACUAACUACUACUACAAGUCUAAGUAUAUCAAUAAACAGGCUUUUAUGCCUAGUAUUGCAACAAAGUCUUACAAUGGGCAAGGACUGUAUGCAUGUUAUAGAUGUGUUUAGAAUAUCU